AAUACAUUUCCUGUGAUCUCAUUUUCAGGUUAUGUUAAUAAAACUCAAGAAUGUACAGACAUUGUGCUUUCUGAGUGAAGCAAGCUUGCAUUUGAAUUGUCUGCUCUCUUCAGGGCAAGUCUUUACCAUGAAAGCGGAAGCAAGCUCUGAAUUUGGGAAUUUGUUAUUGCCACAAUUUAUCAGUGUCAUACCUACUCCAAAUGGAUGUUAUCAAUGUUAAAAUAGAAUAUCAUAGGCCAAUAACAUAUUAUGAAAAUUCUUGCAUUUUAUAAUGCACUUUGCACUUAAGAAGCUAGUUCUCAUUUUGAAAAGUAAAGAAAAACAAAAGCAGAGAAGUUAAAUGCUGCAUAGAAAGUUAUUGAACCUGUUUAUGGCACUAAUAAUAAUAGAUUAUUCCCAUGAAAAUACAAACCGACUUAGUACAUGUUUGCUUUUCGUGUCUAAAGUCGAGAGUCCUCACAUCUAGACAAUUGCUUUUGUUACACUGUUUAAAGAAACCUUCCUUUUGUUAGUUCUUUUGUUUUUUUGCUUAUAUCCCUGAGAAUAUUAUAUUUUUUGAAAAAUUUUGUGUAUCUCAAAAUAAUACACAUUUAUAAAACCUAUCAUUAAGUCUUUAUAAUUUCAUCAACCUAUUUCUUAGAAACAAUUUGCUACUUAGAAUAAAAUGUAUUUUUUUGUGGUUGUAGCUGGUACUGGAGAUUGAACUCAGGGGCCCUUUAUCACUGAGCUACCACUGACUUACAUUCCCAGCACCUACCCACCUCCAUUUUUUUCCUUGAGAAGGUGUCUUGCUAAAUUAGGUUGCUUAGGGCCUCACUAAAUAGCUGUGACUGGCUUAGAACUUGUGAUCCUCCUGCCUCAGUCUCUAGUGUUUCUGGGAUUACAUGUCUGCACCACCAAGCCUGCAAAAUGUAGUUUUUAUCAUAUAGUGAUUUCCAUUGAUAAAUGCCACAAGUAAAUUGAAUGUUUAAAAAUAUGUCUGAUUUCUCAAAAUAAAUUAAGAACUACUAAAAUUUUCCACUUGUGAGUUUAAAGGAGAUCUAUCAGUUUUUUUUUUAAAAAAAUAAAUCAACUAAUUUCAC
rnacentral:lncRNA from 1 species